rnacentral:rRNA from 1 species
AACGCUAGCUACAGGCUUAACACAUGCAAGUCGCAGGGUAACAUGAGGAAAGCUUGCUUUCCUUGAUGACGACUGGCGCACGGGUGAGUAACGCGUAUCCAACCUUCCCAUAACUACGGGAUAACCCGUUGAAAGACGGCCUAAUACCGUAUGAUAUCGUUUGCUGACAUCAAAUAACGAUUAAAGGUUUAGCGGUUAUGGAUGGGGAUGCGUCUGAUUAGCUUGUUGGCGGGGUAACGGCCCACCAAGGCAACGAUCAGUAGGGGUUCUGAGAGGAAGGUCCCCCACAUUGGAACUGAGACACGGUCCAAACUCCUACGGGAGGCAGCAGUGAGGAAUAUUGGUCAAUGGGCGAGAGCCUGAACCAGCCAAGUAGCGU